CCUACGGGAGGCAGCAGUAGGGAAUUUUGCGCAAUGGGCGAAAGCCUGACGCAGCAACGCCGCGUGAUCGAGAAGCCCUUCAGGGUGUAAAGAUCUGUCAGUGGGGACGAAACUUGACGGUACCCACAGAGGAAGCAACGGCUAACGCCGUGCCAGCAGCCGCGGUAACACGGGGGGUGCAAGCGUUGUCCGGAAUCAUUGGGCGUAAAGAGUUCGUAGGCGGCACGUAAAGUCUGGUGUUAAAGGUAGAGGCUCAACUUCUGUAUGGCACUGGAUACUUGCGAGCUAGAGUGCGGUAGAGGUAAAGGGAAUUCCUGGUGUAGCGGUGAAAUGCUUAGAUAUCAGGAAGAACAUCGGUGGCGUAAGCGCUUUACUGGGCCGUAAUUGACGCUGAGGAACGAAAGCCAGGGUAGCAAAUGGGAUUAGAUACCCUGGUAGUC
rnacentral:rRNA from 1 species